GACGAACGCUGGCGGCGUGCUUAACACAUGCAAGUCGAACGGUGAAGGGACUGGUUUUGCUGGUCCUGGAUGAGUGGCGAACGGGUGAGUAACACGUGAGUAACCUGCCCCCUUCUUCUGGAUAACCGCAUGAAAGUGUGGCUAAUACGGGAUAUUCUGGGUCUGUCGCAUGGUGGGCCUGGGAAAGAUUGCGCCUUUUUUGGUGUUUUUGGUGGGGGAUGGGCUCGCGGCCUAUCAGCUUGUUGGUGGGGUGAUGGCCUACCAAGGCGGUGACGGGUAGCCGGCAUGAGAGGGUGGACGGUCACACUGGGACUGAGACACGGCCCAGACUCCUACGGGAGGCAGCAGUGGGGAAUAUUGCACAAUGGGCGCAAGCCUGAUGCAGCGACGACGCGUGAGGGAUGGAGGCCUUCGGGUUGUGAACCUCUUUCGCCAGUGAAGCAGGCCUGCCUCUUUUUGUGGGUGGGUUGACGGUAGCUGGAUAAGAAGCGCCGGCUAACUACGUG
rnacentral:rRNA from 1 species